GUGGGGAAUUUUGCGCAAUGGGCGAAAGCCUGACGCAGCGACGCCGCGUGGAGGAUGAAGGUCUUCGGAUCGUAAACUCCUGUCAGGCGGGACGAAGGAACCGGCGGUCAAUACCCGUUGGUCCUGACGGUACUGCCAGAGGAAGCCCCGGCUAACUCCGUGCCAGCAGCCGCGGUAAUACGGAGGGGGCAAGCGUUGUUCGGAAUUACUGGGCGUAAAGGGCGAGUAGGCGGCUCUGUAAGUCGGAUGUGAAAGCCCCCGGCUCAACCGGGGAACUGCAUCCGAAACUGUGGAGCUUGAGUCCGGGAGAGGGAAGCGGAAUUCCCAGUGUAGCGGUGAAAUGCGUAGAUAUUGGGAGGAACACCAGUGGCGAAGGCGGCUUCCUGGACCGGUACUGACGCUCAGGAGCGAAAGCUAGGGGAGCGAAUGGGAUUAGAUACCCCAGUAGUCC
rnacentral:rRNA from 1 species